UAUAUAAAUAUAAUUAAAAUAUAUUAUGUAAUAUUUUAAUUUUUCGUGCGAUUUCGAAUAUAAAAUUGGCUUACGCCAACCAAUCAGAAAGCUGUUAGGCGAACUGUAGCAUACGGCGUUAGUCUCUUGUGGAAAGUCAUCGUGAUAGGACGCGUAAUUACAACUGGCUUUGUGGAUUUGAAUACGCAGUAUUCGUAAUACUUUCCAUUUCUUCAUUUUUGAUGGCUACUUUGAAAUGAUAUUCUAUAGAUCACGACAGCAUUGAUGACAGUGCAGAUUUUUGCAUUUAUUGAGAUCAAUGUGGAAUCAAUGUGGAAAUGGAAUCAAUAAAGGAUUCUUAUAUUUAUAUUAUCUUCUGAUUUUAUCGAGAUUUUGGUAAAUAGGCUUCUUAAAUAAAUCUUUAAAUUAUUAUGUAAA